AGACAGCAGCAGCCGCGGUAAUACGUAGGGUGCAAGCGUUAAUCGGAAUUACUGGGCGUAAAGCGUGCGCAGGCGGUUCGGAAAGAAAGAUGUGAAAUCCCAGAGCUUAACUUUGGAACUGCAUUUUUAACUACCGGGCUAGAGUGUGUCAGAGGGAGGUGGAAUUCCGCGUGUAGCAGUGAAAUGCGUAGAUAUGCGGAGGAACACCGAUGGCGAAGGCAGCCUCCUGGGAUAACACUGACGCUCAUGCACGAAAGCGUGGGGAGCAAACAGGAUUAGAUACCCGCGUAGUCCCUGUCUCUUAUAC
rnacentral:rRNA from 1 species